CACGUAGGCGGGAAUUUAAGUCAGAUGUGAAAGACCGGGGCUCAACUCCGGGGUGGCAUUUGAAACUGAAUUUCUUGAGGGCAGGAGAGGAAAGCAGAAUUCCUGGUGUAGCGGUGAAAUGCGUAGAAAUCAGGAGGAAUACCAGUGGCGAAGGCGGCUUUCUGGACUGACCCUGACGCUGAGGUGCGAAAGCGUGGGUAGCAAACA
rnacentral:rRNA from 2 species